rnacentral:sRNA from 1 species
GCCAGGUGUGGUGGUGCACACCUGUAAUCCCAGCUACUUGGGAGGCUGAGGGAGGAGAAUCGCUUGAACCCAGGAGGUGGGGGUUGCAGUGAGCCAAGAUUGCACCGCUGUACUCCAGCCUGGGUGACAGAGCAAGACUCUGUCUCAA